CUACGGGGCGCAGCAGUGAGGAAUAUUGCACAAUGGGGGGAACCCUGAUGCAGCAACGCCGCGUAGAGGAUGACGCAUUUCGGUGUGUAAACUCCUUUUAUAUGUCAAGAAAAUGACGGUAGCAUAUGAAUAAGCACCGGCUAACUCCGUGCCAGCAGCCGCGGUAAUACGGAGGGUGCAAGCGUUACUCGGAAUCACUGGGCGUAAAGGACGCGUAGGCGGGUUGGAAAGUCAGGUGUGAAAUCCUACAGCUUAACUGUAGAACUGCACUUGAAACUUCUAAUCUAGAGUAUGGGAGGGGGAGAUGGAAUUAGUGGUGUAGGGGUAAAAUCCGUAGAUAUCACUAGGAAUACCUAAAGCGAAGGCGAUCUCCUGGAACAUUACUGACGCUAAGGCGUGAAAGCGUGGGGAGCAAACAGGAUUAGAUACCCUCGUAGUC
rnacentral:rRNA from 1 species